rnacentral:lncRNA from 1 species
AUAGAUUUCACGAAACAAACGAAAAGGAAAGGAAAGAUGAAACAUAAAUCAUGGAUCAACUAAGCCCUCUCAGGGACUUUCUUAAAGAGGAACCUCAUGUAAAUACCAUGGAAUAAGGUUUGAUCCUAUUCAUGGAGAUUCCGUAACUAUUCCAAAAAUGGAAAGUUAUAAAUCAUGGAUCAACUAAGCCCUCUCAGGGACUUUCUUAAAGAGGAACCUCAUGUAAAUACCAUGGAAUAAGGUUUGAUACUAUCUAUGGAGAUUCCGUAACUAUUCAAAAAUGGGAAGUUCGACACAAAUGGGAUUUUUUUGGAAAUUGGAAGCAGUUACUAAUUCAU